rnacentral:tRNA from 1 species
GAGAACAUAGCUCAGUGGCAGAGCUGCUGCUUGGCAUAUAGGAAGUCCUGGGUUCAAUGCCCAGUGCCUCU